rnacentral:rRNA from 1 species
UUAUGGCCAUAUCACGUUGUAACACCGGCCCCCGUACGAUCACCGAAGUUAAGCAACGUCGAGCCUGGUUAGUACCUAGAUGGGUGACCGCUUGGGAAUAUAAGGUGCUGUAAG